GGGAUUGUAGCUCAGUGGUAGAACGCUUGCCUCACAUGCAUGAGGCCCUGAGUUCAAUCCUCAGCACCA
rnacentral:tRNA from 1 species